GAUGAAGAACGUAGCGAAAUGCGAUACGUAAUGUGAAUUGCAGAAUUCAGUGAAUCAUCGAGUCUUUGAACGCACAUUGCGCCCCCUGGUAUUCCGGGGGGCAUGCCUGUCCGAGCGUCAUUGCUGCCCUCAAGCACGGCUUGUGUGUUGGGCCUCCGUCCUCCUCCCGGGGGACGGGCCCGAAAGGCAGCGGCGGCACCGCGUCCGGUCCUCGAGCGUAUGGGGCUUCGUCACCCGCUCUUGUAGGCCCGGCCGGCGCUUGCCGACACAUCAAUCUUUUUUCCAGGUUGACCUCGGAUCAGGUAGGGAUACCCGCUGAACUUAAGCAUAUCAAUAGGAGGA
rnacentral:misc_RNA from 1 species